rnacentral:rRNA from 1 species
GACGAACGCUGGCGGCGUGCUUAACACAUGCAAGUCGAACGGAAAGGCCCUGCUUGCCGGGUACUCGAGUGGCGAACGGGUGAGUAACACGUGGGUGAUCUGCCCUGCACUUCGGGAUAAGCCUGGGAAACUGGGUCUAAUACCGGAUAGGAGCCAUUUUUAGUGUGAUGGUUGGAAAGUUUUUUCGGUGUAGGAUGAGCUCGCGGCCUAUCAGCUUGUUGGUGGGGUAAUGGCCUACCAAGGCGGCGACGGGUAGCCGGCCUGAGAGGGUGGACGGCCACAUUGGGACUGAGAUACGGCCCAGACACCGACGGGAGGCAGCAGGGGGGAAUAUUGCACAAUGGGCGCAAGCCUGAUGCAGCGACGCCGCGUGGGGGAUGACGGCCUUCGGGUUGGAAACUCCUUUCGCUAGGGACGAAGCUUUUUGUGACGGUACCUAGAUAAGAAGCACCGGCUAACUACGUG